ACUCAAAUGAAUAGACGGGGGCCCGCACAAGCGGUGGAACAUGUGGUUCAAUUCGACGCAACGCGAAGAACCUUACCUGGGCUUGAACUGCCACUGACCAGCGGUGGAAACAUCGCCUUCCCGCAAGGGACAGUGGUAGAGGUGCUGCAUGGCUGUCGUCAGCUCGUGCCGUGAGGUGUUGGGUUAAGUCCCGCAACGAGCGCAACCCUUACUCUUAGUUGCCACCCGCAAGGGGGAACUCUAAGAGGACUGCUCCGGAUAACGGAGAGGAAGGUGGGGAUGACGUCAAGUCAGCACGGCCUUUAUGUCCAGGGCUACACACGUGUUACAAUGCACGGUACAGACUGUCGCGAACCCGCGAGGGGGAGCCAAUCGGAAAAACCGUGCUCAGUUCGGAUUGCAGUCUGCAACUCGACUGCAUGAAGCUGGAAUCGCUAGUAAUGGCGUAUCAGAACGACGCCGUGAAUACGUUCCCGGGCCUUGUACACACCGCCCGU
rnacentral:rRNA from 1 species